rnacentral:rRNA from 1 species
CAACCUACGGGACGCAGCAGUGGGGAAUAUUGCACAAUGGGGGAAACCCUGAUGCAGCGACGCCGCGUGAGCGAAGAAGUAUUUCGGUAUGUAAAGCUCUCUCAGCAGGGAAGAAAAUGACGGUACCUGAGUAAGAAGCUCCGGCUAAAUACGUGCCAGCAGCCGCGGUAAUACGUAUGGAGCAAGCGUUAUCCGGAUUUACUGGGUGUAAAGGGAGCGCAGGCGGCCUUGCAAGUCUGAUGUGAAAUACCGGGGCUCAACCCCGGAGCUGCAUUGGAAACGGUGAGGCUGGAUGGUCGGAGAGG